rnacentral:rRNA from 1 species
GAUGAACGCUGGCGGCGUGCCUAAUACAUGCAAGUCGAGCGAACAGACGAGGCGCUUGCUCCUCUGACGUUAGCGGCGGACGGGUGAGUAACACGUGGAUAACCUACCUAUAAGACUGGGAUAACUUCGGGAAACCGGAGCUAAUACCGGAUAAUAUAUUGAACCGCAUGGUUCAAUAGUGAAAGACGGUUUUGCUGUCACUUAUAGAUGGAUCCGCGCCGCAUUAGCUAGUUGUUAAGGUAACGGCUUACCAAGGCGACGAUGCGUAGCCGACCUGAGAGGGGGAUCGGCCACACUGGAACUGAGACACGGUCCAGACUACUACGGGAGGCAGCAGUAGGGAAUCGUCCGCAAUGGGCGAAAGCAUGACGGAGCAACGCCGCGUGAGUGAUGAAGGUCUUCGGAUCGUAAAACUCUGUUAUUAGGGAAGAACAAAUGUGUAAGUAACUAUGCACGUCUUGACGGUACCUAAUCAGAAAGCCACGGCUAACUACGUG